AAGCAGAGGUGGAUUUGGUGGGCGUGGGCAAGGGCAUGGUGGGCAUUUUGGGCGUGGGCGUGGGCGUGGGCGUGGGAGAGGGAAGGGGAGGGGAGAGGAUAUGGUGAGAGUUUCUGCUGAAGAUCUGGAUGCAGACUUGGACAAGUACCAUGCUGCAGCAAUGGAAACCAGCUAAAUGAUUUUGGCACAACAUUUGUGGUGGGCAGUUUGGCAGUAUGUCUUCCUGUGUCUCCUUUUGUAGGAAUAGAUGCUGACCAUAGUAUAAAGUAUUGGGUCAUGAGCGUGUGUAUUAAUCUUGAAUGUCAAUUUCCAGUGAGAACAUGUUGGGUGAUAAAAUGGAGAGGAUGGAAGCAUCUACGAGAUGAGGUGUUUUGUGACAGGAAGCUGACUCUUGUUCCAUUGUAGGUUUGGUUGCUUAGGCCUUGUUUAGUUGGCAAAAAUUUUGGAUUUUGGGUACUGUAGCACUUUCGUUUGUUUGUGGCAAAUAUUAUCCAAUCAUAGACUAAUUAGGGUCAAAGAUUCAUCUCGCGAUUUACAAGCAAACUGCGUAAUUAGUUUUUGUUUUCGUUUAAAUUUAAUACUCCAUGCAUGUACCGCAAGAUUCGAUGUGACGGGAAAUCUUGAAAUUUUUUGGUAACUAAACAAGGCCUUAGUUACAAACUUGUAGAUGGUAAUGGAAUAUAUACCUCAUGGUUCUGAUAUUCUAUCAUAUUUCAUGUUGGAUGUGGCCGCUGCGCAGUUCAACUGCGUGAUUAUGUUGUUAGCCUGGGCACAAGUCAAUCGGGUCUCACACUAGUUGCCAAAAUGUG
rnacentral:lncRNA from 1 species